GAUGAACGCUGGCGGCGUGCCUAAUACAUGCAAGUCGAGCGAACGGACGAGAAGCUUGCUUCUCUGAUGUUAGCGGCGGACGGGUGAGUAACACGUGGAUAACCUACCUAUAAGACUGGGAUAACUUCGGGAAACCGGAGCUAAUACCGGAUGAUAUUUUGAACCGCAUGGUUCAAAAGUGAAAGACGGUCUUGCUGUCACUUAUAGAUGGAUCCGCGCUGCAUUAGCUAGUUGGUAAGGUAACGGCUUACCAAGGCAACGAUGCAUAGCCGACCUGAGGGGGGAAUCGACACAACGGAACCGAGACACGGUCCCAAACCCCAAGGGGGGGAGGAGUGGGGAAACCUCCGCAAAGGGGGGAAGGCCGACGGAGCAACGCCGCGGGAAGGAAUAAAGUCUUUGGAUCCGAAAACCUUUUUAUUUGGGAAAAAAAAUUUUGUAAAGAACUUGGCACAUUUUGGAGGGACCCAAACCGAAAAGCAGCGCUAACUUCCGG
rnacentral:rRNA from 1 species